rnacentral:lncRNA from 1 species
AGAAAGAAGGAACGGACGCACACCUCCCCAAGGAGCCCUGGCACUAACUACAACACACACAGGGUUUGGCCAGACGUGGACCAGCUUUUGGAAAACACUAACUCAACUGUCAUCCAACUUGCUGCAGUUAACCACCUGUCAGUCACCCAUCAGGGUGCAUGAAGGUCUGGUUUGAUCACUUUGCUAAGGGCUGCACAAGGAAGAAAAAAAGUCAUAAAACACUAUAUUGUCAAGCAGUACUCACUGCUUCUCCUCUUCACUGUCCUCUACCUUGAGUCCCUCAAAAUAUUUCACCUGCAUGACAUUUCUUCACUUGAGAUGCUGUUUGCCCUUUAAAUGGCAUCUUAGCA